rnacentral:rRNA from 1 species
GAUGAACGCUGGCGGCGUGCUUAACACAUGCAAGUCGAACGAUGAAGCCCAGCUUGCUGGGUGGAUUAGUGGCGAACGGGUGAGUAACACGUGAGUAACCUGCCCUUAACUCUGGGAUAAGCCUGGGAAACUGGGUCUAAUACCGGAUAGGAGCGUCCACCGCAUGGUGGGUGUUGGAAAGAUUUAUCGGUUUUGGAUGGACUCGCGGCCUAUCAGCUUGUUGGUGAGGUAAUGGCUCACCAAGGCGACGACGGGUAGCCGGCCUGAGAAGGUGACCGGCCACACUGGGACUGAGACACGGCCCAGACUCCUACGGGAGGCAGCAGUGGGGAAUAUUGCACAAUGGGCGCAAGCCUGAUGCAGCGACGCCGCGUGAGGGAUGACGGCCUUCGGGUUGUAAACCUCUUUCAGUAGGGAAGAAGCGAAAGUGACGGUACCUGCAGAAGAAGCACCGGCUAACUACGUG